AGCAGGAAUUUUUCAAUAGCAUUUGCUGGCCAUUUGUGUGUAGUCUACUUCUAGGUACAGAAUUACAGAUUACUGUGACGUGUUCUCUUUUUGUUUUAUCUGUGUGUUACCUGUGGUCCCAGCUAGCUUGUACGCUCUUUGAUAAACACUGUUCUUUUUGUUUUGUGUCAUUUUCUUUCUCCUGUAGACCUUUCAUUAUUGAGGUUCCUCAGUGCUGAACUAACAAGAGGGUACUUCCUCGAACAUAAUGAGGCCAAGUAUACCGAGAGAAGAGAGAGAGUGUACACUUGUAUGCGAAUACCAAGAGAAUUGGAAAAGCUCAUGUUUUUUGGGAUCUUCCUGUGCCUGGACGCAUUUCUGUAUGUGUUUACCCUGCUCCCGUUAAGAGUUUUCCUGGCACUGUUCAGGCUUCUCACUCUGCCUUGCUAUGGCUUAAGACCGAAGGGAGGAGCACUUUCACUUCUUUAUAGAAUGGAAUGUGGUGGCACAGGGACUCCUUGUGGUGAGUAAACCCUGAUUUUUCCUUCUCUACUCUUGGCCAAAUUGACAUCAGUAUGAAUGAGUAUCAAUUACAAUGCAGAAGUAACAGCACAGGCAGACACCAUUUGGGGACAGAACC